AUGGGGCAACUUGGGUCUGAUCCAACCGCAGCCGUUGGCAAAUGGGAGGCACCGCCAAGCAGCAGCGCUCGGUGGCUUGUAGGGAGCAAGCUCGUGAUUUCGGUCCAAAUCUUGCUGGGGGGUUUGCCUGCACCGGGAGGGGUGAGGGCACAGCACAGUCCCUGCCCAGCACAGGGCCGGGGGCGGCGUUCCAGCACAGCGUUCUGGCAGAGGCAGGUACGCCAUGCAGCCUGGCAGCACGCAGCUCCAAACAGAAACCACCACCCACAGACAGCCCGAAGAACAAAGUACCACUGUUUUCCUGCCCCAGACGCAUGCAUGCCCCAUCUCCUCUCUCACACCAAAAAUAGCUUCUACUUUUUCUUCCCUUUUGGCAACAACAAACCAGAGUUGGAGCACUUUCAGUACACCGAACGCGUUUUGCAGGAGUUAUCGUUCACACUGAAACUCAGUCCCAUCUAUCGCCGCCGUUACAGACCCCCACCGCGCACCGCCUCCCCCUGCCCCGCCAUGGCGGCCGGGCUCGGCUCCCAGCACGAGGCGCAGCCCUGCACAGCCCAGCGCUGCCCCGGGGUGAGUCAGCAGCGCAGCCCGGAGCUCCGGGACAGCCUCCCCGCAGCCGUCCGCUCUCGUCGUCGCUUUCAGAUCAAACGGAAGCGCCGACCCCAACCCGAGGAUCGCCCCGUCCCCAAACCCGGCCCAAAGCCCCGCGCUCGGCACAACCGCGACGCCUUCGAGCGCGACACGCACUUCUGUCCACGAGGAUCCACGCGCCGCGCGGAGAGCCCGAACCGCGGGCAGCGGCGGAGGAAACCGCCCCGGGAGGGGCUGCGGCGCUCCGAGCCGCCCCGACGCGCAGCUUCAGAGCGGGGGCCCGGCUCACUGCCUCGCGGGUGCGCGGGGCACAGCACAGCACGGCGCGGCGCGGCGCACACUUGUUGCCGCGCGCCCGCGGAGCCGCGCGGAGGCGGAGCGCAGCCGCAGGCCCGGCCCGCAGCCGGUGCUCCCGCC
rnacentral:lncRNA from 1 species